rnacentral:lncRNA from 1 species
UUCACUUUUAAAAUGAAUCUGUAUUAAUGUUUUUAUGGUAUUUAACUUGAUAGUGUAUUGUUAAGGUAAUUUUAAGUUAUUUCCAUUUCAGAAGAAGCAUGUUGAAAACUAGAUUUUAGUUUUAAAGACUGCUAGAUUAUAUUUCUAAAAUUAUAUUCCUAAAAUUAUAUUCCUAUUAUAAUCCUAAAAUUGUUAUUUAUGUAGUCAUUGUGUAUCUAAGUUAAAUCAUAACAAAAAGUCUAAAUUCUCAGUAGUUAGUAACAUGUUUUGUAUCAAGUCAUAAUAUAUGCUAAUAUCUGCUGAAUGAGAAGCUCUUUCUUACUGCAUUUUACUCAUUUUUCUUUGAAAUAUAAUUUGUGUGUAUCUGAGUAGAACAAAAAGUCCUCUCAUGGAGCCGUGCCUGCUAUGUGAGUAAUUAACAGAAGAGCUUGUCUUCUGUAGGAAAUUUUAUAACCAAGCAAUAGAAAUGAAAUCAUUAUUUGAGAAGAUACCUUUUAGGACAGGAUGUGUCUCAUUUUUUCAGCUAAAUAGUAUUUUAAAAAAUAGUUAACCCUUCAGAGGCUAGCAAAGCAUCCCUGUUUCUCUGAAUGGUAGGGCCAUUUGCAGGGCCGCUUUCUGGUGAUGACCGAGAGCAGUAGUCACCAGUGAGGUUGAUGGCGCUCAUGUCUCUGUGU